AACAAACAUAAAAAUACACUAAGUCACAACAAAUCACUAUCUAAUAAAUAUAUAUCUAAAAAAUCUAGGGAGAAUUUAAAUGGAAAUGAAGUUCCACUCAUGUCAGCAAUUCCCACAUACUCCAGAAAACUAAAGGAUAAUAGACAACCAAUUAUACUAGAUCAUUUAGAACCAUCACCUACUACAAGUGAUAUAGUCUAUUACUUUAUACUUAUAAUAAUCA